rnacentral:rRNA from 1 species
CCUACGGGGGGCAGCAGUGAGGAAUAUUGGUCAAUGGACGAGAGUCUGAACCAGCCAAGUAGCGUGAAGGAUGACUGCCCUAUGGGUUGUAAACUUCUUUUAUAUGGGAAUAAAACGUUCCACGUGUGGGAUUUUGUAUGUACCAUAUGAAUAAGGAUCGGCUAACUCCGUGCCAGCAGCCGCGGUAAUACGGAGGAUCCGAGCGUUAUCCGGAUUUAUUGGGUUUAAAGGGUGCGUAGGCGGAAUGCCAAGUCAGCGGUAAAAUCGCGGGGCUCAACCUCGCUCCGCCGUUGAAACUGGCGUUCUUGAGUGGGCGAGAAGUAUGCGGAAUGCGUGGUGUAGCGGUGAAAUGCAUAGAUAUCACGCAGAACUCCGAUUGCGAAGGCAUCUCACGAAUCCGCGAUUGACGCUGAUGCACGAAAGCGUGGGUAUCAAACAGGAUUAGAUACCCGUGUAGUC